CCUACGGGUGGCAGCAGUGGGGGAUAUUGCACAAUGGGGGAAACCCUGAUGCAGCGACGCCGCGUGGGCGAAGAAGUAUUUCGGUAUGUAAAGCCCUAUCAGCAGGGAAGAAGAAAUGACGUUACCUGAGUAAGAAGCACCGGCUAAAUACGUGCCAGCAGCCCCGGUAAUACGGAUGGUGCAAGCGUUAUCCGGAUUUACUGGGUGUAAAGGGAGCGCAGGCGGGACGGCAAGCCUGAUGCGAAACCCCGCGGCCCAACCGCGGGACUGCAUUGGGUACUGCCUGGCUGGAGUCCCGGAGAGGGAGGCGGAAUUCCUAGUGUAGCGGUGAAAUGCGUAGAUAUUAGGAGGAAAACCAGUGGCGAAGGCGGCCUACUGGGAGGUGACUGACGCUGAGGCUCGAAAGCGUGGGGAGCAAACAGGAUUAGAUACCCGUGUAGUC
rnacentral:rRNA from 1 species